AUACGUAGGGGGCGAGCGUUGUCCGGAAUGAUUGGGCGUAAAGGGCGCGUAGGCGGCUUUGCAAGUCAGUAGUGGAAGUCCAUUUUUCAAGGAUGGAAGUGCUACAGAAACUGCGGAGCUUGAGUGCAGGAGAGGUUAUCGGAAUUCCCGGUGUAGCGGUGAAAUGCGUAGAGAUCGGGAGGAACACCAGUGGCGAAGGCGGGUAACUGGACUGCAACUGACGCUGAGGCGCGAAAGUGUGGGGAGCAAACAGGAUUAGAUACCCUGGUAGUCCACGCCAUAAACGAUGAAUACUAGGUGUAGGGGGUAUCGACCCCCUCUGUGCCGACGUUAACACAUUAAGUAUUCCACCUGGGGAGUACGGCCGCAAGGCUGAAACUCAAAUGAAUUGACGGGG
rnacentral:rRNA from 1 species